AUGACAAGGAACUUUCUGGCUGCCCAGCCAGCCCAGACAGAAACAGCAAGCCUCGGGUCCCAUGGGAGAUUCUCUCUGAAGGCAUCAAGUCAUGGAGCAGAGGAGGAAGAGAUCUGAUGUCUUGUGUAGGCCCUGCACACGGGUGUACAGGGGUGUACACUUGCACACACACAGGCCUGUGCGGUGCACAUAUACGACAUACAAAAAUAAAUUCGGUGGGCAGCCAGUGCAUGUUCCUUUGUUGUCUGCCAGGUCCUGCAUGCAUUGGUUCUCCACGAUGCUCAUCUGUUUGCGCACGUGCUGGGCUUGUCCUGGCCUCAGGGCCCUCCCUUUGCUGAGCCCUGGGACUGCCCUGGCCACCUGAGUUGUGUCUCAGAAGGAGCUCAGUGUGCUGUUUCCUCAGGUGCCUCCUCCCCUCCCGGUUCUUCCCCCGGCGCAGGGCUGGAUGAAGAAUGCUCACGCUUACUUUCCCGUAUCUGUGGGGUGACUUGAACGAGUGCCCGUUCGUGGCUACUUCCUGGCACCCUGUGUAGUAAGUACCCUCGGUGUGAGCCGCAGUUGGAUAAUUCUGGAGCCCUGAGCCUCCACGAGGUAACUUGUUUUCCCUUUGCAGUGUUGAUGGGAACCGUCUUUAGCAUCCUGCUGGUGACGGUGGUCCUUAUGGCGUUCUGUGUCUACAAGCCCAUUCGUCGACGGUGAUGGCCACACAAGGAAGCCCUGCUCCAGGUUUCUGGGACAGAAGUCGUGUUGCACAUGGGCCACUGGAGACGGUGGAAUCAGAACUUCUGGGCAGAUGGUAAAUGCUUCAGGGUGAGGAAAGCCUCUAGAAGUAACUGUUUCCCUCACGUCAGCUAUUGGCUACUGAUCUCUUCCCUUCUG
rnacentral:lncRNA from 1 species